rnacentral:lncRNA from 1 species
CUCACCACAGUAUGUUGGAGACCUAUAACGAAGAUAUGGACAGUUUGGCUAAAGACAGUUAGACCAUCUCCAUGUUGAGAUGUAUUUCUGUAUUACAGGCCAUCAGACUGUUAAACAGUCACCACAAGCCGGCCUCCGCCCAGUACCCUGCCCUGAACAUAGUCACUGUUACUAGCUGACUACCACCCUGUACUCUACCCUGCACCUUAGAGACUGCUGCACUAUGUACAUAGUCAUUGAACACUGGUCACUUUAGUAAUGUUUACAUACUGUUUUACCCACUUCAUCUGUAUAUCCUGUAUUCUAGUCAAGGCUAAUCCUAUAUAACUACUGCUGUACACACCUUUUCUAUUCAUAUAUUGUCCAUAGUGUCUAUAUACAC